CGGCGGACGGGUGAGUAACACGUGGAUAACCUACCUAUAAGACUGGGAUAACUUCGGGAAACCGGAGCUAAUACCGGAUAAUAUAUUGAACCGCAUGGUUCAAUAGUGAAAGACGGUUUUGCUGUCACUUAUAGAUGGAUCCGCGCCGCAUUAGCUAGUGGGUAAGGUAACGGCUUACCAAGGCAACGAUGCGUAGCCGACCUGAGAGGGUGAUCGGCCACACUGGAACUGAGACACGGUCCAGACUCCUACGGGAGGCAGCAGGG
rnacentral:rRNA from 1 species